GAGGAAGCAGUGGGCUCCACCAGCUAACCCCUGGUUAUUAGAAUGGAUGACACACAGCCCAGUUUUACUCUGACCCUUGGACAAGGAACAAGUCUGAUGCCCAGUUUCUGACUGAUAACCCAGGAGAUCUCUGAGCUCUGCCAAGUUCCACCUAGAAGAUCGACAGACAAGAAGAAUAUAUAGAAAAUUGGGUCUGAAUCCCUCUCUACUGCUGGAGGUUGGCUGUCUAUCAUUCACUGGCUGUGGACUCAGGAACUUUGCAUCAUCUGGCACACAUGCAAAGUAGAUCUCAUGCAUAACAACAUCCCCCCAAAAAAACAUUAAAGGAGGAGGUGGUGCAAACAGGAACAGCAAGGAUCUGAAGCUGUGAAAAUGGCUUCCUGGGAAAGGAAAUUUUCAGAUGGAAGAAGUUUUAAGAGUAUAAGUACUAAGUGUCGAGGAACUUAACUAAAAGAACAUUGCAGGUAGACACGGUGCCAUUUCUGCUUUGUUCCAUACUGAGAAUGGUGUGUAACAGCCAUCCUUUGGGUCUUGAAUGAGUGAGAUUAUUCAGCAAGCAAACACAAGAGGACAAAUUACAAGCAGAGACAGAUAGACAGGUGGAGGUGGCAAGCAGAGCAUCAUCAGACUGGCUGGUUACAACAUCCAGCAGAGACCUCCGGAAGAGCUGGAUUGAGAGCAAGCAACAGUAAUAUCAUCAAACCAGGGGCUUACAAACACCCAUUAAAAGGAGCCACGGAAGCCCUACUGAAACAGUCUUGCUGCUGGUCCUGAUUGAGUCUCAGGCAGAUCACAGAUUCAGUCCGUGAGUGAACUUCCAGCUUCCUGUUCCCGCAGCAGCAGGAAUUUUUAUACCAGGGAAUAAACAAUAAAAUUUCAAUUGGAAA
rnacentral:lncRNA from 1 species